rnacentral:other from 1 species
AUUGCACUGCGACGUUGGUGACUGCCAACAAGUUUUGUGAUCUAUGACUUGAAAGUUAAGGGAACCAAGCAGUUUUCGUGGCAGUAGACCGGGCAUGUACCCGGAAACUUUAAACGAGAAGCACCGGUGCCCACCUGGUUUAUCCAGGUCAAAAACUUAGGUAAAACGGCGUUGCGGUGAAUUA